AUACAGAUUAUUUUUUCAAACUUUUUUUAAUAUUUAAAUUUGAAAUCUGAAAAUAUUAUAAAAAGGUAUUUAAAGUAUAUUGAAUAUGUAAUGUUUAAAAUCUUGUAUACCAUUAGCAAUAUGCAAAUCUCAAGUUUUAUAGGAAGUUAUGUUACUAGAAAUUUGUUUUUAUUUAUAAUUCUGGAAUAGUUAAAUCUUAAAAUAUGCCGAAUAAACAUUGUUUAGCUAAUUAUUUACAAAGGCAUGCUUUUGGUUGGAUGAAGAUAAGACUGUGUCAAUCUGAUGUGGCCAGAAAGUUAAAUGUGUCAAGAAUGAUGGUAAGAAAGGUUAUAGAAACAGUUUCAAAAUAGAGAGGAUAUUACAAAUAAAUCCAAAAAACACAAACUCCCCUGGUGAAUAAUUUUUGAAUUAACUGUCAAUUAAUAAUAAUUAAUUUGUACUACAGUGCCACCAUCUAUUGGAUUAAUAAUUAAUUAAAUUUGGACUAGAGGAUAUUACUGGAAAUCCUGCUGAAAGAUGUCAUUGAGCCAUGAGAAUUCAAGAUGACUAUAAUUUGUAAAUUAUUUCUAUGUCAGAGAAGUAGCCCUAAUCUCAUUUUGUUUCUGAAUUUGCUAAAACCAUUGGAAGGAAAAUUUCAAAAUGAACUUGUGACCAAAAAAUUUAAUGAAGCAAACCUGUAUGCCAGGACAUCAGCAAUCUAUCUCUCAUUGUUCCCACUUCAGAAAAAGAUGUGUUUGAAUUGGUAGUGUUAGCAUGUUACUUGGGAUAUUAACAUAUAGAACAAAUUUCUAUUCAUAGAUGAGUCCAGAUUCAGUCGCACUCUGAUUCCAAAAAGACUUUUAUCUGAAAAAACAUGAUACAAGAUAUCAGCCAUCAAACAUUAAAUAAACUGAUUAUUUUAGAGAUGGCAUAUUAUCUAUUAGCAUGAGUGGGGAUCACUUUCAGUGGCUAAAUAGAUCUCGACAUCUUUUGAGGAAGGUACUUUGAAUGGACAAUAUUGUAGAGAGGGAUACUGAACCAUACAUUCUUCCAUUUUAUGCAUUUGAUCCCGAUUCAUAUCUUGAUUUAUAUUAUUGUAGAUGAUGAUGCCAGUUCACAUAAGCAUUGUCUUAUGGACUUAUAUCUUGAUGUACAGGGAAUUGAUUAGUUUGUAUUUUGUAAAUGGACG
rnacentral:lncRNA from 1 species